rnacentral:tRNA from 1 species
GGGCUGGGGCCGGGGACUCAUAAUCCCUUGGCCGUGGGUUCGAGCCCCACCCGCCCCA